rnacentral:rRNA from 1 species
UGUGCCAGCAGCCGCGGUAAUACGUAGGGUGUGAGCGUUGUCCGGAAUUACUGGGCGUAAAGGGCUCGUAGGUGGUUUGUCGCGUCGUCUGUGAAAUUCCGGGGCUUAACUCCGGGCGUGCAGGCGAUACGGGCAUAACUUGAGUACUGUAGCGGGUAACUGGAAUUCCUGGUGUAGCGGUGAAAUGCGCAGAUAUCAGGAGGAACACCGAUGGCGAAGGCAGGUUACUGGGCAGUUACUGACGCUGAGGAGCGAAAGCAUGGGUAGCGAACAGGAUUAGAUACCCUGGUAGUCAAGGGCG